AUUGAACGCUGGCGGCAUGCCUUACACAUGCAAGUCGAACGGUAACGGGUCCUUCGGGAUGCCGACGAGUGGCGAACGGGUGAGUAAUAUAUCGGAACGUGCCCAGUAGUGGGGGAUAACUGCUCGAAAGAGCAGCUAAUACCGCAUACGACCUGAGGGUGAAAGGGGGGGAUCGCAAGACCUCUCGCUAUUGGAGCGGCCGAUAUCAGAUUAGCUAGUUGGUGGGGUAAAGGCCUACCAAGGCAACGAUCUGUAGUUGGUCUGAGAGGACGACCAGCCACACUGGGACUGAGACACGGCCCAGACUCCUACGGGAGGCAGCAGUGGGGAAUUUUGGACAAUGGGCGCAAGCCUGAUCCAGCAAUGCCGCGUGCAGGAAGAAGGCCUUCGGGUUGUAAACUGCUUUUGUCAGGGAAGAAAUCUUCUGGGCUAAUACCCCGGGAGGAUGACGGUACCUGAAGAAUAAGCACCGGCUAACUACGUGCCAGCAGCCGCGGUAAUACGUAGGGUGCGAGCGUUAAUCGGAAUUACUGGGCGUAAAGCGUGCGCAGGCGGCUUUGCAAGACAGAUGUGAAAUCCCCGGGCUCAACCUGGGAACUGCAUUUGUGACUGCAAGGCUAGAGUACGGCAGAGGGGGAUGGAAUUCCGCGUGUAGCAGUGAAAUGCGUAGAUAUGCGGAGGAACACCAAUGGCGAAGGCAAUCCCCUGGGCCUGUACUGACGCUCAUGCACGAAAGCGUGGGGAGCAAACAGGAUUAGAUACCCUGGUAGUCCACGCCCUAAACGAUGUCAACUGGUUGUUGGACGGCUUGCUGUUCAGUAACGAAGCUAACGCGUGAAGUUGACCGCCUGGGGAGUACGGCCGCAAGGUUGAAUCUCAAAGGAAUUGACGGGGACCCGCACAAGCGGUGGAUGAUGUGGUUUAAUUCGAUGCAACGCGAAAAACCUUACCUACCCUUGACAUGUCAAGAAUUCUGCAGAGAUGUGGAAGUGCUCGAAAGAGAACUUGAACACAGGUGCUGCAUGGCCGUCGUCAGCUCGUGUCGUGAGAUGUUGGGUUAAGUCCCGCAACGAGCGCAACCCUUGUCAUUAGUUGCUACGCAAGAGCACUCUAAUGAGACUGCCGGUGACAAACCGGAGGAAGGUGGGGAUGACGUCAGGUCCUCAUGGCCCUUAUGGGUAGGGCUACACACGUCAUACAAUGGCCGGUACAGAGGGCUGCCAACCCGCGAGGGGGAGCCAAUCCCAGAAAACCGGUCGUAGUCCGGAUCGUAGUCUGCAACUCGACUGCGUGAAGUCGGAAUCGCUAGUAAUCGCGGAUCAGCUUGCCGCGGUGAAUACGUUCCCGGGUCU
rnacentral:rRNA from 1 species